rnacentral:rRNA from 1 species
UACGGGGGGAGCAAGCGUUGUUCGGAUUUACUGGCGUAAAGGGCGCGUAGGCGGCCAACUAAGUCAGACGUGAAAUCCCUCGGCUUUAACCGGGGAACUGCGUCUGAUACUGGAUGGCUUGAAUCCGGGAGAGGGAUGCGGAAUUCCAGGUGUAGCGGUGAAAUGCGUAGAUAUCUGGAGGAACACCGGUGGCGAAGGCGGCUCACUGGCCCGAUACUGACGCUGAGGCACGAAAGCGUGGGGAGCAAAGCAG